rnacentral:rRNA from 1 species
UACGUAGGAUGCAAGCGUUGUCCGGAUUUAUUGGGCGUAAAGAGUUCGUAGGUGGUUUGUUAAGUCUGAUGUUAAAGACUGGGGCUCAACCUCGGAAAUGCAUUGGAUACUGGCAGACUUGAGUGUGGUAGAGGCAAUCGGAAUUCCAGGUGUAGCGGUGAAAUGCGUAGAUAUCUGGAAGAACACCGGUGGCGCAAGCGGAUUGCUGGGCCAUAACUGACACUGAGGAACGAAAGCUAGGGGAGCAAAUGGG